AUGCCGCCGGCCCCCACAGCCGCCGCCUCGGCGGCUCUCCGCCGCGAGGACCUCCUCCGCGUCGCCGCCCCGCUCCGGUCCCUGCUCGCCGCGGCGCCCUACGCGCCCCCCGAGGGCUCCGACACCUCCGUGAAAUCCCUCCUCGCCUCACUCCUCCCGUCCCCCUCUGAACCCCCGACGGGCGGGGCCGGCAAGGAGGCCGUGGACCUGCUCCUCUUCUGCGCCGCCGCCCGCGCGGCCUCCGCGGAGGCCCCCGCGCUGCACUGGGUCCCGGAGGGGCUCUCCAAGGCGGCCGCCGCCGCGAUGGAGGAGAUGGCGGCGAUGGGCGGGUGGGCCGGCGUCGCGGAGAUGGUGGUGGCCAUGAUGCCGGAGGCAGUGCCGCCGCUGAAGGCCGUGCUGAAGGAUACAGGCGUGGACGCCAAUGAUGACAUGAUGAUGAUCGGCGCCGUGAAGCCGCCCAAGGAGCACGCCUUUGUCGCCGCGCACCAGUUCCGGUGGCUGUUGUCCCAGGUUAAUUACCCCAAGCUUGGCGAUCUGUGCUGGUUAGUCAUUCCAUGUGCUGAUCAUUGGUCACCGGACGUUAAGGAACAAGGAAUGAUUAGCUUCAUGCACAUAGCAAAGAAUGUGAAAGUAACAGAAUUAAGUUUGUAUGAAGAUGCAAUACUUGAUGCGUGUUGCCAAAACAUUCCUGCAGAUGAUGAGUUAUGGUAUCGCGUUGUUGAGGUAUCAGUGCUGCUCUUGACUGCACAGAGAAGUAAUCCACGUAGCCCUUGGUACGACCGCGUACUUUCUGAGAUGUUGGGACACCUGGAACGGCAACCACUAAACAAAGAACGUCGUGGUGCAUGGCUUACCCUUAUCGGACCAGUUUCGGAUGCUAUGGGCCUCUUCCUAUUGGCACAUUUUCGUCUCCUGUUCUCUCUAUUUUUCCAAUGGAUGCAUGCUGAUGAUGAUAGAACAGUUCUUUUGGUGUUAGAGCGAAUUCAUACAGUUAUUAAGCUCACCUGGAUCAGGAAGUCACCCUACACUUCAAGACUGGUGGAUGAGCUUGUUCUCUUGUAUAAGGAGUCAGCCACGAGAAAGAGCCAUGAGAUCAUGCGAAAUCACAUAGUGGAAAUACUCGUGUUACUCCAGAAGUGCAAGGGGCAGCAGUUUGAGGAAGCUUGGAAGAAGCAUGAAGCUGACCCAGAUUUAACAUUGCUGCUAUCCCGUUUCAAACAACUUUGCACCAGAGAUCAUUCGCCAGAAUUCUGA
rnacentral:rRNA from 1 species